rnacentral:rRNA from 1 species
UACGUAGGGCGCAAGCGUUGUCCGGAAUUAUUGGGCGUAAAGAGCUCGUAGGCGGCUUGUCACGUCGGGUGUGAAAGCCCGGGGCUUAACCCCGGGUCUGCAUUCGAUACGGGCUGGCUAGAGUGUGGUAGGGGAGAUCGGAAUUCCUGGUGUAGCGGUGAAAUGCGCAGAUAUCUGGAGGAACACCGGUGGCGAAGGCGGCAUCCUGGACCGGUAUUGACACUGAGGCGCGAAAGCCAGGGGAGCAAACGGG